rnacentral:rRNA from 1 species
UUCCGGUUGAUCCUGCCGGACCUGACUGCUAUCGGAUUGAUACUAAGCCAUGCGAGUCUUUGUAGUAAUACAAGGCAUACGGCUCAGUAACGCGUAGUCAACCUACCCUAUGGACAAGAAUAAUCUCGGGAAACUGAGCAUAAUUCUUGAUAGAUCAUAAUGCCUGGAAUGGUAUAUGGUUAAAAUGAUUCGUCGCCAUAGGAUGGGACUGCGGCCUAUCAGCUUGUUGGUGAGGUAAUGGCCCACCAAGGCGAUUACAGGUACGGGCUCUGAGAGGAGAAGCCCGGAGAUGGGUACUGAGACAAGGACCCAGGCCCUAUGGGGCGCAGCAGGCGAGAAAACUUUGCAAUGUGCGAAAGCACGACAAGGUUAGUCCGAGUGAUUUCUGCUAAAGAGAUCUUUUGCUAGUUAUAAAACCACUAGUGAAUAAGGGGUGGGCAAGUUCUGGUGUCAGCCGCCGCGGUAAAACCAGCACCUCAAGUGGUCAGGAUGAUUAUUGGGCCUAAAGCAUCCGUAGCCGGCUCUGUAAGUUUUCGGUUAAAUCUAUGCGCUCAACGUAUGGGCUGCCGAAAAUACUGCAGAGAUAGGGAGUGGGAGAGGUAGACGGUACUCGGUAGGAAGGGGUAAAAUCCUUUGAUCUAUCGAUGACCACCUGUGGCGAAGGCGGUCUACCAGAACACGUUCGACGGUGAGGGAUGAAAGCUGGGGGAGCAAACCGGAUUAGAUACCCGGGUAGUCCCAGCCGUAAACGAUGCAGACUCGAUGAUGCAUUGGCAUAUAGCCAGUGCAGUGUCGCAGGGAAGCCGUUAAGUCUGCCGCCUGGGAAGUACGUACGCAAGUAUGAAACUUAAAGGAAUUGGCGGGGGAGCACCACAAGGGGUGAAGCCUGCGGUUCAAUUGGAUUCAACGCCGGG